CUGUACUUGUGAACCGAUACUGACAGGGGUUCAUAAGUUUGACAGAAAAAAAGUGUCUAAAAAUACAUCUGGCAAGUUUGCCUCCAAUGACGGUGCUUUUAGGACGUCACCUGAACAGCAGAAAAGUAAAUCAUUUGAAAUCAAAUUGCAGCCACAGAGGUAAUCGUCUUCGCCUCAUUUUGUAUUACCAAUCAAAGCAAUAGCAGUAUUUAGUCUCGCUGCGUCAGCGCCGCUGAUAAAUCAUCGUGAAAGCGGAUGAAAUGGGAAAUCGAUGGAAAGGCGAAUGCCGUUCUGUGCCCCGUAUCGCCGCCACGAACACCUGUAAUUACCUGGAAAAUGGCGCGAUUGCUUGCGCUCUACCGCGUGGACUCAAGGCAGAUGGGAGCGGCGUUCAGCACAGAAGGAGAUGAGGGAAUCUGAGGAAACUGAAGACAGACCUCCAGCACAAACAACUGGAACAUAAAUGUCUUCCUGGCAACAUCAGGUUGUGAAAAAAAAUUAUAUAAAACCAAGAAGAGGUUAGUUCUAAGGUCACAUGAUCAGCAACAUGUCUGGUAACAGCACACGUCAAAGGUCAUGACAGCAGAAGUCAUGCAGCAUCGUUAUUCUUUCCAUUUUCUUUCUGGGCAUGGCAGAAGACACGUCAGUCAUUAAAGGGGAAAAGAACAGAAGAAGAAAUUAAUUAUGAACAGAC